UACAGGGGGGGCAAGCGUUGUUCGGAAUUACUGGGCGUAAAGGGCCAGUAGGCGGCCAACUAAGUCACACGUGAAAUCCCCAGGCUUAACCUGGGAACUGCGUGUGAUACUGGAUGGCUUGAAUUCGGGAGAGGGAUGCAGGAAUUCCAGGUGUAGCGGUGAAAUGACGUAGAUAUCUGGAGGAAUACCGGUGGCGAAGGCGGCAUCCUGGACCGACAUUGACGCUGAACGGCGAAAGCUAGGGAGCGAA
rnacentral:rRNA from 1 species